rnacentral:misc_RNA from 1 species
GAAAUGCGAUAAGUAGUGUGAAUUGCAGAAUUCAGUGAAUCAUCGAAUCUUUGAACGCACAUUGCGCCCCUCGGUAUUCCGUGGGGCAUGCCUGUUCGAGCGUCAUCUACACCCUCAAGCUCUGCUUGGUGUUGGGCGUCUGUCCCGCCUUCGCGCGUGGACUCGCCCCAAAUGCAUUGGCAGCGGUCCUUGCCCCCUCCCGCGCAGCACAUUGCGCUUCUCGAGGCUGCGGCGGCCCGCGUCCGGUCCUCGAGCGUAUGGGGCUUUGUCACCCGCUCGAUAAGGACCGGCCGGGCGCCAGCCGGCGUCUCCAACCUUUUUUUCUCAGGUUGACCUCGGAUCAGGUAGGGAUACCCGCUGAACUUAAGC